UGCCCUAUGGGGGACCCCAAAAGCUGCCCUAUGGGGUCUGUGAGAACUGCCCUAUGGGGGACCCCAAAAACCACCCUAUAGGGUCUGUGAGAACUGCCCUAUGGGGGACCCCAAAAACCGUCCUAUGGGGUCUGUGAGAACUGCCCUAUGGGGGACCCCAAA
rnacentral:sRNA from 1 species